rnacentral:rRNA from 1 species
GACGAACCGUGCGAACGUUAUUCGGAAUCACUGGGCUUAAAGCGCGUGUAGGCGGGCCGGCACGUCCGUCGCUGAAAUCCCCCGGCUCAACCGGGGAAGGGGCGCGGAUACGACCGGCCUGGAGGGGGGUAGGGGGCGCUGGAACUCACGGUGGAGCGGUGAAAUGCGUUGAGAUCGGGAGGAACAUCCAUGGCGAAGGCAGCUACCUGGACCAACACUGACACUGAGGCACGAAAGCGUGGGGAGCAAACAGG